rnacentral:rRNA from 1 species
GAUGAACGCUGGCGGCGUGCCUAAUACAUGCAAGUCGAGUGAACGGACGAGAAGCUUGCUUCUCUGAUGUUAGCGGCGGACGGGUGAGUAACACGUGGAUAACCUACCUAUAAGACUGGGAUAACUUCGGGAAACCGGAGCUAAUACCGGAUAAUAUUUUGAACCGCAUGGUUCAAAAGUGAAAGACGGUCUUGCUGUCACUUAUAGAUGGAUCCGCGCUGCAUUAGCUAGUUGGUAAGGUAACGGCUUACCAAGGCAACGAUGCAUAGCCGACCUGAGAGGGUGAUCGGCCACACUGGAACUGAGACACGGUCCAGACUCCUACGGGAGGCAGCAGUAGGGAAUCUUCCGCAAUGGGCGAAAGCCUGACGGAGCAACGCCGCGUGAGUGAUGAAGGUCUUCGGAUCGUAAAACUCUGUUAUUAGGGAAGAACAUAUGUGUAAGUAACUGUGCACAUCUUGACGGUACCUAAUCAGAAAGCCACGGCUAACUACGUG